rnacentral:tRNA from 1 species
GGCGCGAUAGCUCAGUUGGUUAGAGCACUGGAUUCAUAACCCAGAGGUGAUGGGUUCAAGUCCCAUUCGCGCUA